rnacentral:lncRNA from 1 species
GCAAUCCUAAUAGGUGUGAGGUGAUACCUCUUUGUGGUUUUGAUUUCAUUUCCCUGAUGGUUAAUGAUGUUGAACAUCUUUUUAUGUGCCUGUUGGCCAUUUGUAUGUUUUCUUUGAAGAAAUGCCUUUUCAAGAUUUUUGCUUUUGUUUCUUGUGCUUUUGGUGUCAUAUCCAAGAAGUCAUUGCCUGGGCCAAUGUCAUGAAGCAUUUCCCCCAUGCCUUCUUUUGGGAGUUUUACAAUGUCAGGUGUUAUGUUUAAGUCUUUAAUAUAUUUUGAGUUGUUUUUUAUGUACAGCAUAAGGUAAGAGUUCAGUUCUCUUGUAUGGAUAUCCAGUUUUCCCAGCACCAUUUUUGGAAGAGACUGUUAUUUUCCCAUCGUGUAUUAUUGGCACUAACUAUAAUGGUGAAAAGUUAAACGCUUUUCCUUUAAGAUCAGGAACAAGACAAGGACGCCCACACUCACUGCUUCUAUUCAGCAUAGUAGUGGAAGUCCUUGCCAGGGCAAUUAGGCAAGAGAAAGAAACUAAAGGCAUCUAAAUGAGAAAAAGAUAAAAUUAUCUCUGUUUGCGGAUGACAUGAUCUUAUGUGUAGACAACCCAAACUUUCUUAUCUUCACAGAAUAUUUUGCAAGAGUUGAGCUCCUAGAAAAUGAGCUUAGAUCAUUUCUCCCCUCUGGCCAGUAACAAGAUGCUCCUACACUGAGCUUCAUUUAGCACAGCCCUGGACACACCACCAGGCACUCAGCAAACAUCAGACAAUUUCCAGUUCAAUGGAAAAUUCUCAGUUAUCCAUGGCAGAAUCAUGGCCCUGUCAUGCACUGGCUGAGUUUCCUUGAGGAAGCUGCUUAAGCUUUCUGACUCUUGGUUUUGUUAUCUGCAAAAGGGGAAUAGCAGUGUCUAUACCACAGGGAUAAUAUGAAGGCUAAAUGAGAUCCUGUAAAGCAAUCUUUCCAAGUCCUGAGCUUGACACAAUAAUAAAAACUAACCUUUAUUUAAUUAUUGAGGUAGAGGAAGGAGGAUAAAGAACAGGACCAAAGAACAGAAGUUAUUUCCCAGUGAACUUAAACAAUUCAUGAGUUUUCUCAUCUCAAGCAGGAGGGCCUUAACUGCAUUGUCUCAUGCCUUUAACCAGUGAGAGUCAGAGAGAGCUAAGGCACAUCCAACUCCAUUGCUCAACUCCCAGGCACCCAGCAGCAGGUAUAGAGCGUUGGGAGCUGCACUCUCCAUACUGAUGUUAUAAUUAAUCUUCCACCUCAGUCAACCGAUCAUAGAGUUCCACUUUUGGAAGUGUUCCAACCUGCACCCAGGAGGCUUCUGCAGUCUUUUUUGCUGCCAGAAUGUCCGCCCUGAUUUACACCUGACUUCGGCAACAUCUGAGCAUUCAUAUCUGUGCUACAUGCUGGCUGUAGCCAUGGGUCUCAUUCUAAAACAUCCUUGCCUUCAAAUACAGGCAUGAGGCAGCAGUGGAGGAAGGAGAGGUAAGAAACUAUUCAUCGGCCGAUGUUCUGUGCUGCUGCCUCAUGGGCAUGCUGACGGCAAGAGUUAUGAGGUGUAAACCUGGGUUCACAUCUUGUUUUCUUCUCCAGGUGAGGGUACUUCAUAGAGCUCAGAAGAAACUCAAGGACCAGCUCUCUCGGGCUGCCCCUGUAAUAUGGCCCACUGAGGGCAGGUUCCUGGCUGCCCUUGGAACAGUGCUGCGGUCAUCAGAUGGUGUGAAAGACAAAUGCCUUUGUGCCCUCAAAGGCAACCAGUAUAUAUGGGAGGUGCUGUCCCCCCCUUCUGCCACUCAUCAGCUCAUGGUAAACAGAGGCCACUUAGGCACCACUCAAGGCAUUGACCAGUCUGAGUCCUAAUUAUAGGGUCCUACUUAUAGCCAUUAUGAACCUCAAAGCCAAACAACAAUGAAUUUUGUCAAAGGACUCCUCCUGGCUUUAGUUGAACAGAAUCAUCAGACUAGGAAGCCAUUAGUGACCUUCGUGAGUUUCCAGAUCUUCAUUCUCAUGGCUCUUAUCAGAGAUUUGGUCUGAGGUGAUAGUGUUAUAGGGCCCUGAUGCAAAAAGCCCAGUGCAGAUUGGCUCACUUGCUGCUGCAUCUUGAUUGUCCAUGGGUGGGGUCUACUCCUGAGGUCUUGGGAUUGAAAAAGUUCACACGGACUGUAAAUCCUGCCAUUGCUACCGAUGACACUUGUACUUGUUGCGGUGUGUCCAUUGUAGUGGGAAGAGCUCUGCUCUUAGAGUGUUAUACAGCCUAUAGGGUUUGGAUUCUUCACAUUUGGUUGGUUGACUUUGAGUCUCAGCACUUUCAAUUGUAAGGUGGGGACACUACAAACUUACAGAAGUUAUUGUGAAUACACAACCAUCCAAGUAAUUACACCUGCAGAGCUGACCAGUUUACUUUCUUGCUUGCUGUCUGGUAAAACUCUUGCCAAUCAUAGACAAACGAUCAAUGCAUAAGGUAACCUCAUUUGAGAGUUCAAGUUCUGAACAGAAGAAAAGGAUCUCAUUCCUGUUAUGAACAGCUUAGUUAUAAAGUCAAAUGUAAAAUCAAAUAUGUGUUUCUGUGGCAAAUGGUUAAAUUCUUACCUUUUACAAAACAUUCAGUAGUCACAAGGUCUUUACACACUCACUGCUUAUCCAUCAUAUUUAUAUAUGGUGUGCCUGUUAGGUAAGACAUACACACUUUGGUUAGUUACUUGAAUAGAUCAUAAAAUUAAGUCUAGGACUAUGUUUUCUGCUUUAUUUAAAUUUUCUCAUCCAAGGAAAAAUUUCAUGAAGAGUGGUUGAAUGAAUGAAUGAAUGAAUGAAUGGACAUUUACUGUCUUGAAUAAAACCUUUUUAUAUAAUUUAGCUUGUUUUGCAAAAGAAUGAAACACUAGCUUCAAACUCUUUAUUUUUCAUUGAUCUUUAGAAAUCAGGGUCCCUCUUUUGAAUACACCCCUUGUUCAAGGAAAGGAACCAUUUAUGUUCUGUCCUUGAUUACUGCACAAUGGCUUUUACUACAUUUGAUUUGCAGCAGUUCAUUUGUGAUUAAAUUUUCUAAUUCUCCCAGAAAGUCAUUGAACAAGCAAACAGUUUACUUUCCCCAAUAAAACAAAGCCUAAAGUAUUUGGUCUUUAAUAAAUGCUCAAAAAUUAUUUUCUCAGUGUGUGUUCAAGAUAUAAAUAUCCCUUCAUCUCAACCCUCUUUUACAUAUUUGACCAAUCUACCUUUAUAGAGUAGUUGUUUCUCCUUAUGUCAUUUCUGAUCUAUCUUUCUUGAAUUCUUCUUUGCUUAGUUUUUAAUCAAGCCAAAUGUUUGUUUAAUCAGAUACCUCAAUUAGUCAAGACCUGUCUCUUUUAUCAGAAAGUGAAUUUAGAGAACAAUUCUAAAACAUAGGGUAAUACAAAUUUUUUAAAAGAAAACCAAAUUCUAAGCUCAGCUUGGUCCCAGGGCAAAUUCACUCCUCAUUCUUAAUUCUUCUCCAUUUCUGGUCACGGGAGGGGCACCCCCAAAAUGCUGACCCUAGGACUCCCCAAGAUCCUCCAGCAUCCAAAAGGCCUCUCUUCUCCAGUCUUUACUUUCUAUGGGAACAGGUUGAAACCCCUGGGAAUGAAUACAUUCUCAACUAAAAAUACAAAUUAAAAGAAUUUCUUGCUUAGACUAUCAGAAACUUGAUCUAGUGCACAUAUUUCCCAAGCAUUUCAUUUACUAGAUCUGAUUAAGACACUCUGUUAUUGUAUCAUUUAAAUUUUUAAAUUUUAUUAUUUAAAUUUUAAAUACAAGUUUUAAAGGAUGGUUACAAAUUAGUAACUCAAAAUAAUUGAGUGGAAAGAUCAAGGUACAAGACACUCUGCCUUUACCUUCAAAGUCUGAGCAAAUAUGAUUUUAUAUCUUUUUAAUUAGAGAUUCUUUUAAAGACCAAGUUACUGCAGUCCUGUCUUGUUCUUCUCCUAUUUUAUAUUGAUGUGCUCAGUACCUUGGUGUCUUUGUCUGUCUUUUAGGGGGAAGGGAAUACACGUUUUGGACUAGAGUAGCACAGAUGCCAUUCUUACCUCACUGUAGGUUUCUUUAAAGAAUGUUUAGUCCUGACAAUGCGAUGCAGAUUUCUUUCUCUCCCCACUCUAUCUUUUGCAGAGCUUUAUCCCUUUUUCAUUGUUCAGCAUAACUGGGAACCUGCCAGCUCGCCACAAUGACACAUAAUGAUUUUUGCAAAGUGUGUGUCAAAUGUCCUGAGCUUAGAAGAGAUUCAUCGUAGAGACUGCUGCUUAAUGAGUGUAAAUUAACUGAUCAUUUGCUAAAUCUGAUGUGCCCAGUGGUGUGGACGGGAGAAUGCUGGAUAGGAUGUAGGAGAUGCAGGUGAGCAGACGGGUAGCAGAGACACAUACCGUGUUUCUGAGCGAGGACUGUAGCAUGGCCAGAAGGCUGUUCUGAUGUAGAGAGGGAUUUUCCGCUCACGGUAGGACCCAGUACCGUGAGACUGAGGACUGAAACACAAAGUUAACACAGAUCUCCCGAACAGUCCGCUUUAGGGCUGGAGCCUGCUGGGAUCAGUCCUCUUGAGAAGAACAACAAUCUGGUUGAGAUUGAACUUGCCAAAGACAAUGAGACUAAACAAGAGACGCCUGCUGGUAAACAUCAGGGCUGUUGUGUGGAAGCUGAGGGAGGAAGAAAACACAAAAGCUGUGCAUGAUGAUAAGGCUAGUGGGCCUAGUGUUACCAGUACCACAGAUCUACAGCUCCUCCUAGAGGCAGGGCACAUUCAGAAUAAGCAACAGGGAGCUGCAUGUCAUGUAGUCAAGCAACUGUAUAUUUCUUCUUCAUUCAUUUCUGGGACAUACAUAUGAAAUAUCUUCAGCUUCAUAUCUGAGAUGGCAGGAACAUGACAACAUAUUAGCUUUUAGGUAGACACCCGUAGGUCUUAGGAUGUGGUGGAAAAUUGGGUGUCAUUUUUUCCAGAUAAUCACUGGCAUUUUUAUAAAACAUGAAGCCCUUCCUAAAGUCUGUGCUUCCCAGAUAGUAGUGAGGAGAAAUAGGCUUGUGGAGACCAUAAGGGUUUAUUUUGGAGUGGGUCUUGUGAAUUUGACAGUUUAAUAGUCACGUGGACGCACACUGUUGUUUGCAGGAGGGGCCAUGAACCCCUGCCCUGAAUGAAAGGGAAAUACUUAUGUCCAUGGUAACCAGGGCCAGUGGCAGCCAGGAAGCCAAGACCUGGCCUCCGCUGCCACUGCUCAUACAAACCAACUAAACAUGUGUACAUCACGUAUGGGAUAUAGGAGAAGCACAUCUGAAGGGCUAUGGCAGAAGUGGAAAGAAGGCAAAACUCUUCCACACAGGCAACCCGUGCUUUCCAGACAAAUCUCACAACAUCAAACUAGAAGUAUUCAUGCCACCCCCUACCCCUGCCAACUAGAACUGGCUGUCUGUGUCAGGUCGUCAUCUUAUCUUAGAACACAUCCAUUGAUACAUACACUGUUUCUUCUUCCCUAUUACCUCUGAUUCUGCUUCUCUAAAAUAAAAGCUGACCGACUGGUUGGAAUAAUAAUACAUAUACCACCUGGCAUUUUACAGUUUUACAUCAUCUCAGGUGAUACAACCAGGCUAUGAUGCAGUCAUGUCACCAUACUCUUUACCAGAUGAGCAGAUGAGAUGCAAACUCAGAAAUAUUAGGAAAUGUAGCUGUGAUGGAUUGGGCUAUAAUCAACUUGUGAUGUGGGAGUUUCUCAGAAUCUCUUUCCCUAUAUACAUAUGGUUCCGAGCUAGAGCUGGCCACAGUGAAGCCAUGAGACCUGGGAGGUGAAUGAAGGAGGGGCCAUUAUGCUCUGGAGGUUUUCAUCGUGUAACUGAACAGAGGUCCGGAUGCUCACCGCCUGCAGAAUCCAGUUAACAAGAAUGAGUUCUGGUAGAAAGAAAGUGACUUUAUUCACUCAAACUAAUAAAGAACAAGUGGCCGGGUUCCCAUCCAAAGCAACCACUUCAAUUUGGCAGAGAGGAAGACAGGGGUUUAAAAAAGGAAAACUUGAUGUGAAAAGCUUGCAAGAAUUGUGCUGAGUACAACGUCUGUGUACCUUGUUCUGGUGGCUAUCUUGGGUCCCAGUUUACCUGGAUCACGGGCUGGUGUCAUCUCAACAAUGGUGAGGCUGUUGACUCGCCACCUUGAAGUCAUCUCUGGAACUUUGCAGGUCAAGGGCAGGACCAGGUGGAGACAAUUGAAUCCUGGGGCUGGUUUCCCCCAUGCUGUUCUUGUGACAAUGAGUUCUCAGGAGAGCUGAUGGUUUUCUAAGGGGCUUUCCCCUUUGCUCGACUCUCAUUCCCUCUCCUGCUGCUCUGUGAAGGGGCGCCUUCCUCCAUAACUGUAAGUUUCCUGAGUCCCUCCCAGCCAUGUGGAACUGUGAGUCUGUUAAACCCGUUUUCUUUAUAAAUUAACCAGUAUCAGGUAUUUCUUCAUAGCAGCAUGAGAACGGACUAAUCCGGUAAUAUUCUCCACUGUUUUUCUGUUCUCUAUGUUAUUUAGUUCUGCUCUAUUAUUUAUUGUUUCCUUCCUUCUGCUUGCUUUGGGUUUAGCUUGCUCUUCUUUUGCUAGUUUCGUAAGGCAGAGUGUAGUUUGUGGAUUCAAGAUCUUUCUUCUUUCUUAAUAUAAAUGUUUACGGCUAUAAUUUUCCUUCCAAUUACUCUUUUUAUUGCAUUCCCUAAGUUCUGCUAUGUUGUGUGGUAUUUUUGUUUUUACUCAGCUCAAAGUAUUUUUGUGUUUCCCUUGUGGUUUCCUCCUUAAUACUUUGGUAAUUUAUCAGGGUGUUUAAUUUCCAAAUAUUCUUGUGUAUUUUCCAGUUUUCCAUCUGUUAUUGAUUUCUAAAUUCAUUCUGUUGUGAUCAGAAAAGACACUUUGUGUGAGUUGAUUUCAACCUUUUAAAAAUUAUGAAGACUUGUUUUGUGACCUCACAUACAGUCUAUUUUAGAGAAUGUUUCAGGUGCACUGGGGGGACAUGUGUAUUCUGCUGGGCUUGGCGGAGUCUAAUAAUCCCUAAUAUACCUCGCUUCUAAUGUAGGUGUUCCCGCCAGAGCAUGCCAGUGUCGUGUCCACAAUAACAAACAAAAAUUCAUUGUUUUCUUUUUCUAAGGCCAUAUUGUAGAUUCCCAGUUCAACUAUAAUAUAUAUUAUUUUAGCUGUCUAUUUAAAGUGUCACAUCAUCCUAGGGACCUUUCAACGGACUGACUACAUUUCUCACAAUUAUAGUAAUUACUGAAAAUAAACACAUGAGACUAUUCUCUUCAACUAAAAUAUCUUAUUUUACAUUUAGUACAAUUUAGAAAUUUGCAUGUAAAGCUAAGGAAGGACACAGCUUUAGAAACAAUGGACUCAUUUCUCUCCAGACCUAUGUGAAAGUUGGUUUGACAGUAAUUACCUUAUGGGAGCCCAAAGGUAUAAAAUAAGGAUGAGGAAUGAUUGUUCCCAUCACAGACGGAUCACCACAUCAUCCCCUGUGCAUUUGCAUGUUGUGUACUGAUCAGAGGUGGUGGUGGCGUGGUGUGGAGGGGCAGCAGUGGUGACGUGGAAAUGUAAAGAAUUUCGGGUACUGAGGAUCCAGUUAAAAAUCACACUGGAAAGAGAACCAAAUAUAGUCAAGGAAAGAAGAAGUGGCCUACAAACCUGUGAUAUGAUCUUGAAAUGACUUAUUUUAACAAGCAUACCUCCCAUCUAUUAUAUAAAAUAAACCUAAGUUACUAGAAAGAGAUGGGAGUUAAAUUCCCUAUCACUUACUAGCUGAGUGACUUUGAGCCUGUUUCCUAGUCUCUGUGAGCUUGUGUUUCUUCAUGUGGGUAAUAGAAGUCAUAAUAAUACUCACUUUAGCAAUUUGCUGUAAUAAUUGGCAACAAUAUCUUGAAGCACAGAUUAUAAUGUCCAGUAUGUAAUAGCCCUCUUGUAUGUCGCUGUAUUCUUUCUACUGUCCAUAGUUCUUUAGGUUAUUAGACUGACUUAUGAACUUUGAGCGCUGGUCAUCAGACCUACUUCACAUGGAGCCUCGAGACCCCUCCCUCGAAUUAUCAGACCCUUCCCCCUCUGGCCAUCAUCCUCCUCCCUCUGAUCAUCACUGUGCGCCCUUUGACCAUCAACCUCUUCCCUCUGGCAUCAGACUCUCCUCCCUCUGCCCAUCCUCCUCCUCCCUCUGACCAUCAGGCCCGCCUUACUUCCUCAUACCAGCAGCCGUGGAGUGGAUCUUCAACAAGCAGCCAACAGCAGCCAGGGACAGAUCCUCGGGCACUGUUUUUCUGUCCGAAAAAUCAGAAUCGUAUCAAAGGGUCGGACACCUGGACUGGCAAGACACGUUGGGGUUAUUUAUAACAGGGGAAAAUGAGGUCUCCAGGGAAACAAACCGUAAUAAAGAAUAUGAACUCCCGCAGACCGAAUUGCCUUCAACGAUCCUCAAAGACUUUUGUGUUUGACCAAUAUCAAUUAAUUACAUCAGUAAAUAACUGCCUGAGCCUUGUACUUCUGUCCUCCCAAGAUCCGGAAUGACUUCUGCUUUCAAAAUGAAUUUCAGGGCUUUCUUUGAAGCAGUCUUGUAAAGUUGUUAUAUUUAGUUUAAAUUCAAUUAAAGCUCAAUCUGAAAGCUCUUUCUGAAGCAUUUGAUCCACAUUUACAUGAAGGUAUUUGCUCUUAAAAUUGUUAGGGGUAUAGCUCAUUUCUAGUAAUAAUAAGUGGUAUUUCAUAAACCAGGAUACAUGAUCAUUUACUUCCUGAUAGCUUGCUUCUCCC